CUGAUUUAACUGGCUCCCUUUGAUUCUCAGGUUUUAUUAACAGAUUUUCUAUAGUCUAAGAUUGUGUGUGUGUGUGUGUGUGUGUAAGAGACUAAUGUAAGGCAGUGAAUAAUGUUCUGAGUUAGUUCUUCCAAGAAGGGUUAGAAUAUACUAGUGGACAGGCAGUUGGGUUGCACGGGAAAUAGCAACCAGAAGAAAAUUUACAUUGAUAGGUGUUUGUGUUGAGGGAUAUUUAAUUCUCCGUAAGGUCCAAAAGUUACCAUUAAAGGAGACAGAAACAGAAAACAUCUUCUUGCCUUACACUUAAAAUAUACCCUAAGGCCAGGGGUUUAACACAAGGCCUGGGUUUGAGCCCCGGCACCACAGGAUUUUUAAAUUACACUGUUGUAGCCAGUGAAAUACCCCACAGAAACCUUUUUAAAGCUUGCUCCCUGAAUACAUUCCAUAUUCUUCAGUUGCAUCUGUGGAACCUCUAAGGCCUCCCUCUCUUUAUGUAAGGCACUUUUUAAAAAACAGUUUUUGCCUUAUUUUAGGUGAGAACUACCAGCUGAAGAUUUCAUUCUGAUCACCUGGCUGAGCCCUGUGCCAACCUGGGGUGACCCCACCCACCCACCUGCCUGCCUGCACUGGGUGUGAGUUCACGCAACGUCUUGACAGCUCCGUACCUCAGCCCCAGCCCCAGAGGUCUGGGGCAUGUUGCUGUGAGGGCAGAGUGUGUGCAGCCUUGUUGAAAAAAUGUAACCUCUGCGUCGUGCAUGCCCUUCCCAGGCAUGGCCCAGCGCUGUGUAGUGGGCCCCGAGACCAGUCAGUGACAGGGCCACAUCAGGCCCACUGCGGUCAGUGUGCAAGGAUAAGAGAUUCUUCGAGCUCACAGGUCACAGGAGCGGUUCCCCAUCAGCCCUGUGGAGCACACAGGAGCUAGCUCUACAAGGCCCCCUUUCCUGGGCAGCUGUGGCUCAGCAGUGUUGGGUCCCCCGGCCUCUGCUGUGUGUCUACUCUGUCACUGUCAUCCUCAAAAGGAGAAAAGGACGAUGCUGCCCUUCCUUGUGUUGCCCUCGUCUGCAGAUAGCAUUCCUCUGGUACUGGUGCCAACCCAGCAGCUUGUCAGGAGCUCACUGACAGGAAGCAUCAUUGAAGCCAACGUCUGCUUUUAAGAAGACCAGAAAGACCCAGGUGUGAAGAGAACCAACCAAGCUUUGAACCAGUGCUUCAGGUAUGAAGAGGCACUCGUGGCCCAGCCGAGGAGGAUUUCCAGGACAGCUGCGCCCGCUGCCCGAUACAGUGCCUUCCAGCCGCUCUGUGAGAACUGCAUGUGCCUGACUGGUCUGGGCUUGUGGUCAGCUCUCAUCGGGCCAAGCCCUGUCACCAAUGGACCCAGUGUGAUCUAGGUGCGGCUGAAGAAUCCUGGGUUUGCAUUCAACAACUUUCACCAAAAUCCAG
rnacentral:lncRNA from 1 species